rnacentral:lncRNA from 1 species
GCUCUCGAACCUGAAGACAAGGUUACUAUUCUCACGAAGUUCAAUAUCAAAUUCGGCUUUCAAUGUGCCGAACGUAAUAACGUGUAACACCUCACUUUGCCGAGAAGGCUGAUGAGAUGACCUCGACCAAUAAGGGUUCAGAAACCCUUCUCGACCGAGACUUGGAUAGGUAAUCAACCGUUCUCGCCGCAGUGCUGUUGAUGCCAACGGAAGAUACUGCGAGACCGAUUGAUUCUACGGUGACAGAGCUAUCUAUGCCGACUUAAGAUAUCAC